AGUCGAGCGAAUGGAUUAAGAGCUUGCUCUUAUGAAGUUAGCGGCGGACGGGUGAGUAACACGUGGGUAACCUACCCAUAAGACUGGGAUAACUCCGGGAAACCGGGGCUAAUACCGGAUAAUAUUUUGAACUGCAUAGUUCGAAAUUGAAAGGCGGCUUCGGCUGUCACUUAUGGAUGGACCCGCGUCGCAUUAGCUAGUUGGUGAGGUAACGGCUCACCAAGGCGACGAUGCGUAGCCGACCUGAGAGGGUGAUCGGCCACACUGGGACUGAGACACGGCCCAGACUCCUACGGGAGGCAGCAGUAGGGAAUCUUCCGCAAUGGACGAAAGUCUGACGGAGCAACGCCGCGUGAGUGAUGAAGGCUUUCGGGUCGUAAAACUCUGUUGUUAGGGAAGAACAAGUGCUAGUUGAAUAAGCUGGCACCUUGACGGUACCUAACCAGAAAGCCACGGCUAACUACGUGCCAGCAGCCGCGGUAAUACGUAGGUGGCAAGCGUUAUCCGGAAUUAUUGGGCGUAAAGCGCGCGCAGGUGGUUUCUUAAGUCUGAUGUGAAAGCCCACGGCUCAACCGUGGAGGGUCAUUGGAAACUGGGAGACUUGAGUGCAGAAGAGGAAAGUGGAAUUCCAUGUGUAGCGGUGAAAUGCGUAGAGAUAUGGAGGAACACCAGUGGCGAAAGCGACUUUCUGGUCUGUAACUGACACUGAGGCG
rnacentral:rRNA from 1 species